AGAGUUUGAUCCUGGCUCAGGAUGAACGCUGGCGGCGUGCCUAAUACAUGCAAGUCGAACGCUUCACUUCGGUGAAGAGUGGCGAACGGGUGAGUAAUACAUAAGUAACCUGGCAUCUACAGGGGGAUAACUGAUGGAAACGUCAGCUAAGACCGCAUAGGUGUAGAGAUCGCAUGAACUCUAUAUGAAAAGUGCUACGGGACUGGUAGAUGAUGGACUUAUGGCGCAUUAGCUAGUUGGUAGGGUAACGGCCUACCAAGGCGACGAUGCGUAGCCGACCUGAGAGGGUGACCGGCCACACUGGGACUGAGACACGGCCCAGACUCCUACGGGAGGCAGCAGUAGGGAAUUUUCGGCAAUGGGGGAAACCCUGACCGAGCAACGCCGCGUGAAGGAAGAAGUAAUUCGUUAUGUAAACUUCUGUCAUAGAGGAAGAACGGUGGAUAUAGGGAAUGAUAUCCAAGUGACGGUACUCUAUAAGAAAGCCACGGCUAACUACGUGCCAGCAGCCGCGGUAAUACGUAGGUGGCGAGCGUUAUCCGGAAUUAUUGGGCGUAAAGAGGGAGCAGGCGGCACUAAGGGUCUGUGGUGAAAGAUCGAAGCUUAACUUCGGUAAGCCAUGGAAACCGUAGAGCUAGAGUGUGUGAGAGGAUCGUGGAAUUCCAUGUGUAGCGGUGAAAUGCGUAGAUAUAUGGAGGAACACCAGUGGCGAAGGCGACGAUCUGGCGCAUAACUGACGCUCAGUCCCGAAAGCGUGGGGAGCAAAUAGGAUUAGAUACCCUAGUAGUCCACGCCGUAAACGAUGAGUACUAAGUGUUGGGGGUCAAAGCUCAGUGCUGCAGUUAACGCAAUAAGUACUCCGCCUGAGUAGUACGUUCGCAAGAAUGAAACUCAAAGGAAUUGACGGGGGCCCGCACAAGCGGUGGAGCAUGUGGUUUAAUUCGAAGCAACGCGAAGAACCUUACCAGGUCUUGACAU
rnacentral:rRNA from 1 species